UCAGGAUAAACGCUGGCGGCGCACAUAAGACAUGCAAGUCGAACGAACUUAACUAUUAGUUACUAAUAGAGCGGUAGUGGCGGACUGGUGAGUAACGCGUGAGCAACCUGCCUAUCAGAGGGGAACAACAGUUAGAAAUGACUGCUAAUACCGCAUAUGCCUUAGUAACGCAUGUUACAAAGGGAAAGGAGCAAUCCGCUGAUAGAUGGGCUCGCGUCUGAUUAGAUAGUUGGUGGGGUAACGGCUUACCAAGUCGACGAUCAGUAGCCGAACUGAGAGGUUGAACGGCCACAUUGGGACUGAGAUACGGCCCAGACUCCUACGGGAGGCAGCAGUCGGGAAUAUUGCGCAAUGGAGGAAACUCUGACGCAGUGACGCCGCGUGCAGGAAGAAGGUUUUCGGAUUGUAAACUGCUUUAGACAGGGAAGAACAAGGACAGUACCUGUAGAAUAAGCUCCGGCUAACUACGUGCCAGCCGCUGC
rnacentral:rRNA from 1 species